UACGAAGGGGGCUAGCGUUGCUCGGAAUCACUGGGCGUAAAGCGCACGUAGGCGGCUUUUUAAGUCAGAGGUGAAAUCCUGGAGCUCAACUCCAGAACUGCCUUUGAUACUGAGAAGCUUGAGUCCGGGAGAGGUGAGUGGAACUGCGAGUGUAGAGGUGAAAUUCGUAGAUAUUCGCAAGAACACCAGUGGCGAAGGCGGCUCACUGGCCCGGUACUGACGCUGAGGUGCGAAAGCGCGGGGAGCAAACAGG
rnacentral:rRNA from 1 species